rnacentral:rRNA from 1 species
AACGAACGCUGGCGGCAGGCCUAACACAUGCAAGUCGAGCGCGCCCUUCGGGGUGAGCGGCGGACGGGUGAGUAACGCGUGGGAACGUGCCCUUCUCUGCGGAAUAGCCUCGGGAAACUGAGAGUAAUACCGCAUACGCCCUUUGGGGGAAAGAUUUAUCGGAGAAGGAUCGGCCCGCGUUGGAUUAGGUAGUUGGUGGGGUAAUGGCCCACCAAGCCGACGAUCCAUAGCUGGUUUGAGAGGAUGAUCAGCCACACUGGGACUGAGACACGGCCCAGACUCCUACGGGAGGCAGCAGUGGGGAAUCUUAGACAAUGGGGCAACCCUGAUCUAGCCAUGCCGCGUGAGUGAUGAAGGCCUUAGGGUUGUAAAGCUCUUUCAGCUGGGAAGAUAAUGACGGUACCAGCAGAAGAAGCCCCGGCUAACUCCGUG